GGUUGCUGAACCCUCUAGAUUAACAGGUUAAUUGGAAAAGGUGUUCAGCUGUGGGAACUGGCAAAAGCCUUGCAGCUGACUAUUACAAGGCCUGAGAGACAAACCCCAGCUCCAGGAAGAGGUCUGUGGGGGAACUGCUAGCUGAAGGAGGAAGAUAUUAUGUGGGAUUGUUUGGAGUACAACUCCCAGCCCCAGAGAGAGGGUAGAGGCAAGCUUCUGUUUAGAUGAAGCAGAUACUGACUGCUUUAAAGAACUGAUGAAACAAGAAACGUCAGUUUUGAUGAACUUUGCAUCAAGAAGGUUUCUUGUGUCCAGAAUGGAAUUUCUGGUUAAAACAAUAGAGAAUUACAGAAUAGCUAAAGCCCAGCUGUCUGAUUCAAAGCAAGAACUUGGAUCUGGGUCUCCUACAUCACAGUUCAAUAGGUGCAGACAAUAGUCAAGAAGAUGGCUAAUUGUGAAAGGGGGAAAAACAUGAAGACUGAGAGAGAAAUUUCCUAAUCUGCCACCUUAUUUAUUACAUUUCCUGGAAAGCAAUGGAAUGUGACCAACGCAAUAAAGCUGGAGGUAAAUGCCAUUCAGUGGCUGUGACUCUGACGUUCUUCUCACACAUUAUCACAAAGCAUAAAUGCAUUAGAAUAUUGUUUUAAAAUUAUUUGAUCAUAUAAUUUGUCUUUUUUUUUUCAACACGAUAAACAUAAUAAAACAUUAAGAAUGAUAAAUUCGGU